UACGUAGGUGGCACGCGUUGUCCGGAGUUAUUGGGCGUAAAGCGCGCGCAGGCGGUGCGGUAAGUCUCUGGUGAAAGCGCUCGGCUUAACUGGGCGAGGGCCGGGGAGACUGCCACGCUGGAGGGGAGCAGAGGCGAGUGGAAUUCCGGGUGUAGUGGUGAAAUGCGUAGAGAUCCGGAGGAACACCAGUGGGCGAAGGCGGCUCGCCUGGGCUCUACCUGACGCUGAGG
rnacentral:rRNA from 1 species